GGUUAAGCGACUAAGCGUACACGGUGGAUGCCCUGGCAGUCAGAGGCGAUGAAGGACGUGCUAAUCUGCGAUAAGCGUCGGUAAGGUGAUAUGAACCGUUAUAACCGGCGAUUUCCGAAUGGGGAAACCCAGUGUGUUUCGACACACUAUCAUUAACUGAAUCCAUAGGUUAAUGAGGCGAACCGGGGGAACUGAAACAUCUAAGUACCCCGAGGAAAAGAAAUCAACCGAGAUUCCCCCAGUAGCGGCGAGCGAACGGGGAGCAGCCCAGAGCCUGAAUCAGUGUGUGUGUUAGUGGAAGCGUCUGGAAAGGCGCGCGAUACAGGGUGACAGCCCCGUACACAAAAAUGCACAUA
rnacentral:rRNA from 1 species